ensembl:lncRNA
GUGACUGCCACGGGCUCAGGACUGAACCUGGGUGUGUCCAGCUCAACGUUUCUCAGCCACUACGCUGUAUCCCCUCUUCUCUCUGUUGCCUUGGCCCCAGAGCUGCAGUCUGGGACACACACAUAAAGGAGCUGGAAACUUUCACAUCAGAAAGUGAUGCCUGGGGAGCUAAAGGCCUGGGGUCCUCAUCCCUGGUUCUUUCACCUACACUUCGUUAUUAUCACUGUUCAUUGUAUCAGCCCAGUACAUGUUUGUAUAUUCUAGUUGUAAGUCGCUCUGGUUCUUCUGUGUGAGCUGCUGCCACCGCAUGGCACCUGACAGGACUGCCCUGCCUCCUUUCUUCCCUACUCUGCCCUGCUUCAACAUCUCCAAAUCUUCUGUAGAAGAAGGGCGUGGCCACGAGGUUCCUUGCAUUUUACUCUAAGAUGCCUCUGUGGGUGAGAUCCAGCCUGGCACAGUGGUGGGGCACAGACUGCCUGGAUUUGAAUCCUGGGUCUGCUGCUUACCAAAUAUGAGACCUGAAAAGAGUUACUACACUUUUCUCUGCCUCUCUCCCUUUAAUGGGGAUAAUCGUGGUGCCCAUAUAAUAAGAUUAUAAGAAGGAUUAAAUGAAUUAAUUAUAAGAGCUUGUAUUAGUCAAGACAUAUGCUUUAAUAACAAAAAACCCCCCAAAUCUCAGUGGCUUAACCCAACCAAGGUUUAUUUUUCACUCAAGCAGAAUCUUGAUGGGGUUGGGGUAACUCUCCAGAGCCCUCCAUGUGGGACUCAGUGAUCCAGAUUCCCUUCAUCUUGUGAAGCAUCUCAACAUGUGACUCCCAGAGUCUCUCAAAUAGCUCAUAGUGAAAGUGACGUCAUUAUCCUCCCUCAGCCAAUUGGCCAGAAUUAGUCACAUGGGCCCAAUAUAAUUACAGAGGAGUCUGGGAGACACAGGAACUAUUUGGUGAACCCCACUGUCUUCCAGGCCAACAAGAAGCCGUUUAGCAGGGACAGCAGGAGUGAUAAACCCUAUCAAUAUCUGGGAAAGCUGGAGGUCACUUUUCUCCCCACCCCAGCUACUUCGGUAGCCACCUCCUUGGUUCCCUUGGAUGAUCUUCCAGUUCUUUCAAAAUCUCACCCUGGGAUGCUUAUGGGAUCCACGGUUCAGCUUCCCCAGGGCUUUGAUUGUCUUCCUGUUGUCACAUGCCUGAGUUGUUGGAAAGAUGUUGCCACUGACAUUUCCUCUAGGCCUAAUGCAAGACACCAUAUGUUUUUAAAUCCACAGUCUCUGACACAUGGAACUUUGCCUUUUGAAGACAAACAAGCCACACCAAUAGCAAGCAACAACCCGGGGGGAUGGCUAACAGAGGUCUUAUUCAGGGAGGUACUCCAGCCCGGUGUUGGUGAAGAGCCAGGGGUGCUGACCUUUCCUACAGGGACCCACAGGCGUGCCUGGACUCUUUGCCCUCCUCUCGCUUGCGGCGUACACCACUGUUUCUGGGAACGUUCUCCGCUUGACUAAUUCUCCAAUAAUCCUCAUGCCAGUGUGAAAAUCCCACAGUCUCCUUAACCUGCUUCAGGAACUGCUAAGCAAUGCUCGGCUUUGGACCGGUUGAGCUGGGCUUGUGAGCAUCAACGUGAACGGCUUCUUGGGGAAUUACGGCUUGUGUAGGGAACAAGGCUGCUUCUUCAGAUCCAGCCAGCCAUCUGGAGUACGCUCCUCAGAGACAAGAACCUGCUGGAGCUGAGAGGUGGAAUACAGCAUAAACCCUGGGGAAGCUGUGCCCAUCUUUCCAGUCCAGGGCUCAAUAUAUUCAAGUUGGUCCUUCUUUGUUUGCUUCCAUCUUCAAGUGGGAUAGUCUCAACCAGGGAAAGCCAUUCCUCUUCCUUGAUUAUCAUCCUUGGAGUAGUGCCCUGGCGCUAUCUGCCCUCACAGUUGCCUGGAGAAGUGAGAGGACCCAGAGGAGUAAGAUGGACCAAAGACUUUUCAAUUUCUGUUGGGGAAGAGGCUAGGAAUUGGGGAUGGUGGCCAAAGAGGGCCUAACUUUAUCAACAAAGUUCUGAUUAUUUAACCAGGAGAAUGUAUUUGUGUGUUAUUAAUGUAAUUAAAAAUUAAGCAAAGAAAUAAGGUGAACACUCUACGUCUUAGACACUAACAUAAAUGGAUGUACUGGAUACAGUAAAAUGCAUCGAACUGAACUAAACCCAAAAGACAAUAAAAACUUUGGUGACUUAUAAGA